rnacentral:rRNA from 1 species
AACGAACGCUGGCGGCAUGCCUAACACAUGCAAGUCGAACGAAGGCUUCGGCCUUAGUGGCGCACGGGUGCGUAACGCGUGGGAAUCUGCCCUUUGGUUCGGAAUAACAGCUGGAAACGGCUGCUAAUACCGGAUGAUGACGAAAGUCCAAAGAUUUAUCGCCAGAGGAUGAGCCCGCGUUGGAUUAGGUAGUUGGUGGGGUAAAGGCCUACCAAGCCGACGAUCCAUAGCUGGUCUGAGAGGAUGAUCAGCCACACUGGGACUGAGACACGGCCCAGACUCCUACGGGAGGCAGCAGUGGGGAAUAUUGGACAAUGGGCGCAAGCCUGAUCCAGCAAUGCCGCGUGAGUGAUGAAGGCCCUAGGGUUGAAAAGCUCUUUUACCCGGGAAGAUAAUGACUGUACCGGGAGAAUAAGCCCCGGCUAACUCCGUG